rnacentral:rRNA from 1 species
AGCGGCGGACGGGUGAGUAACGCGUGGGUAACCUGCCUCAUACAGGGGGAUAACAGUUGGAAACGGCUGCUAAUACCGCAUAAGCGCACAGUACCGCAUGGUACCGUGUGAAAAACUCCGGUGGUAUGAGAUGGACCCGCGUCUGAUUAGGUAGUUGGUGGGGUAACGGCCUACCAAGCCGACGAUCAGUAGCCGACCUGAGAGGGUGACCGGCCACAUUGGGACUGAGACACGGCCCAAACUCCACGGGAGGCAGCAUG